AAAGUCAACUAGGCAAUCGCCGCUUUUUAUGUCCAUUUAAAAAGGAUAAUAAAAAGAGGAGGAAAGUCCGGGCUCCUAGGGUAGGGUGCCAGGUAACACCUGGGAAGUGAAAGCUUACGAAUAGUGCAACAGAAAAAAAACCGCUUAUUGUUCAUUUAUGAAUAAGCAAGUAAGGGUGAAAAGGUGUGGUAAGAGCGCACCGCUCGACUGGUAACAGUCCGUGGCAAUGUAAACUCCACCUGGAGCAAGGCCAAAUAGAGGUUUUUUAUAAGGUAUGACCCGUACUAAACCUGGGUAGGCUGCUUGAAUCAAUGAGCGAUUAUUGAUCUAGAUGAAUGAUUGCCCUCGACAGAACCCGGCUUACCGGUUGGCUUUUAAU
rnacentral:RNase_P_RNA from 1 species